UACGUAGGGGCUAGCGUUGUCCGGAAUCAUUGGGCGUAAAGCGCGUGUAGGCGGUCCGGUAAGUCCGCUGUGAAAGUCGGGGGCUCAACCCUCGGAUGCCGGUGGAUACUGUCGGGCUCGAGUACGGAAGAGGCGAGUGGAAUUCCUGGUGUAGCGGUGAAAUGCGCAGAUAUCAGGAGGAACACCAUUGCGAAGGCAGCUCGCUGGGACGUUACUGACGCUGAGACGCGAAAGCGUGGGGAGCAAACAGG
rnacentral:rRNA from 1 species